GAUGAACGCUGGCGGCGUGCCUAAUACAUGCAAGUCGAACGAAGAUCUAGCUUGCUAGAUCUUAGUGGCGAACGGGUGAGUAAUACAUAAAUAAUCUGCCCAUAUGACUGGGAUAACUAUUGGAAACGAUAGCUAAUACCGGAUAGGUUGAUUGGAGGCAUCUCUGAUUACUUAAAGUAGGAUUUCUACACAAAUGGAUGAGUUUAUGGCGCAUUAGUUAGUUGGUGGGGUAACGGCCUACCAAGACGAUGAUGCGUAGCCGAGCUGAGAGGGUGACCGGCCACACUGGGACUGAGACACGGCCCAGACCCCUACGGGAGGCAGCAGUAGGGAAUUUUCGGCAAUGGGCGCAAGCCUGACCGAGCAACGCCGCGUGAGUGAUUAAGGCCUUCGGGUUGUAAAGCUCUGUUGUAAGGGAAGAACAUUCAGGAUAGGAAAUGAUCUUGAACUGACGGUACCUUACCAGAAAGCCACGGCUAACUACGUGCCAGCCGCCGCCGUAA
rnacentral:rRNA from 1 species